rnacentral:rRNA from 1 species
GGUUAAGCGACUAAGCGUACACGGUGGAUGCCCUGGCAGUCAGAGGCGAUGAAGGACGUGCUAAUCUGCGAUAAGCGUCGGUAAGGUGAUAUGAACCGUUAUAACCGGCGAUUUCCGAAUGGGGAAACCCAGUGUGAUUCGUCACACUAUCAUUAACUGAAUCCAUAGGUUAAUGAGGCGAACCGGGGGAACUGAAACAUCUAAGUACCCCGAGGAAAAGAAAUCAACCGAGAUUCCCCCAGUAGCGGCGAGCGAACGGGGAGGAGCCCAGAGCCUGAAUCAGUGUGUGUGUUAGUGGAAGCGUCUGGAAAGGCGCGCGAUACAGGGUGACAGCCCCGUACACAAAAAUGCACAUAUUGUGAGCUCGAUGAGUAGGGCGGGACACGUGGUAUCCUGUCUGAAUAUGGGGGGACCAUCCUCCAAGGCUAAAUACUCCUGACUGACCGAUAGUGAACCAGUACCGUGAGGGAAAGGCGAAAAGAACCCCGGCGAGGGGAGUGAAAAAGAACCUGAAACCGUGUACGUACAAGCAGUGGGAGCACGCUUAGGCGUGUGACUGCGUACCUUUUGUAUAAUGGGUCAGCGACUUAUAUUCUGUAGCAAGGUUAACCGAAUAGGGGAGCCGAAGGGAAACCGAGUCUUAACUGGGCGUUAAGUUGCAGGGUAUAGACCCGAAACCCGGUGAUCUAGCCAUGGGCAGGUUGAAGGUUGGGUAACACUAACUGGAGGACCGAACCGACUAAUGUUGAAAAAUUAGCGGAUGACUUGUGGCUGGGGGUGAAAGGCCAAUCAAACCGGGAGAUAGCUGGUUCUCCCCGAAAGCUAUUUAGGUAGCGCCUCGUGAACUCAUCUCCGGGGGUAGAGCACUGUUUCGGCAAGGGGGUCAUCCCGACUUACCAACCCGAUGCAAACUGCGAAUACCGGAGAAUGUUAUCACGGGAGACACACGGCGGGUGCUAACGUCCGUCGUGAAGAGGGAAACAACCCAGACCGCCAGCUAAGGUCCCAAAGUCAUGGUUAAGUGGGAAACGAUGUGGGAAGGCCCAGACAGCCAGGAUGUUGGCUUAGAAGCAGCCAUCAUUUAAAGAAAGCGUAAUAGCUCACUGGUCGAGUCGGCCUGCGCGGAAGAUGUAACGGGGCUAAACCAUGCACCGAAGCUGCGGCAGCGACGCUGAUGCGUUGUUGGGUAGGGGAGCGUUCUGUAAGCCUGCGAAGGUGUGCUGUGAGGCAUGCUGGAGGUAUCAGAAGUGCGAAUGCUGACAUAAGUAACGAUAAAGCGGGUGAAAAGCCCGCUCGCCGGAAGACCAAGGGUUCCUGUCCAACGUUAAUCGGGGCAGGGUGAGUCGACCCCUAAGGCGAGGCCGAAAGGCGUAGUCGAUGGGAAACAGGUUAAUAUUCCUGUACUUGGUGUUACUGCGAAGGGGGGACGGAGAAGGCUAUGUUGGCCGGGCGACGGUUGUCCCGGUUUAAGCGUGUAGGCUGGUUUUCCAGGCAAAUCCGGAAAAUCAAGGCUGAGGCGUGAUGACGAGGCACUACGGUGCUGAAGCAACAAAUGCCCUGCUUCCAGGAAAAGCCUCUAAGCAUCAGGUAACAUCAAAUCGUACCCCAAACCGACACAGGUGGUCAGGUAGAGAAUACCAAGGCGCUUGAGAGAACUCGGGUGAAGGAACUAGGCAAAAUGGUGCCGUAACUUCGGGAGAAGGCACGCUGAUAUGUAGGUGAGGUCCCUCGCGGAUGGAGCUGAAAUCAGUCGAAGAUACCAGCUGGCUGCAACUGUUUAUUAAAAACACAGCACUGUGCAAACACGAAAGUGGACGUAUACGGUGUGACGCCUGCCCGGUGCCGGAAGGUUAAUUGAUGGGGUCAGCGCAAGCGAAGCUCUUGAUCGAAGCCCCGGUAAACGGCGGCCGUAACUAUAACGGUCCUAAGGUAGCGAAAUUCCUUGUCGGGUAAGUUCCGACCUGCACGAAUGGCGUAAUGAUGGCCAGGCUGUCUCCACCCGAGACUCAGUGAAAUUGAACUCGCUGUGAAGAUGCAGUGUACCCGCGGCAAGACGGAAAGACCCCGUGAACCUUUACUAUAGCUUGACACUGAACAUUGAGCCUUGAUGUGUAGGAUAGGUGGGAGGCUUGGAAGUGUGGACGCCAGUCUGCAUGGAGCCGACCUUGAAAUACCACCCUUUAAUGUUUGAUGUUCUAACGUUGACCCGUAAUCCGGGUUGCGGACAGUGUCUGGUGGGUAGUUUGACUGGGGCGGUCUCCUCCUAAAGAGUAACGGAGGAGCACGAAGGUUGGCUAAUCCUGGUCGGACAUCAGGAGGUUAGUGCAAUGGCAUAAGCCAGCUUGACUGCGAGCGUGACGGCGCGAGCAGGUGCGAAAGCAGGUCAUAGUGAUCCGGUGGUUCUGAAUGGAAGGGCCAUCGCUCAACGGAUAAAAGGUACUCCGGGGAUAACAGGCUGAUACCGCCCAAGAGUUCAUAUCGACGGCGGUGUUUGGCACCUCGAUGUCGGCUCAUCACAUCCUGGGGCUGAAGUAGGUCCCAAGGGUAUGGCUGUUCGCCAUUUAAAGUGGUACGCGAGCUGGGUUUAGAACGUCGUGAGACAGUUCGGUCCCUAUCUGCCGUGGGCGCUGGAGAACUGAGGGGGGCUGCUCCUAGUACGAGAGGACCGGAGUGGACGCAUCACUGGUGUUCGGGUUGUCAUGCCAAUGGCACUGCCCGGUAGCUAAAUGCGGAAGAGAUAAGUGCUGAAAGCAUCUAAGCACGAAACUUGCCCCGAGAUGAGUUCUCCCUGACCCUUUAAGGGUCCUGAAGGAACGUUGAAGACGACGACGUUGAUAGGCCGGGUGUGUAAGCGCAGCGAUGCGUUGAGCUAACCGGUACUAAUGAACCGUGAGGCUUAACCUU